rnacentral:rRNA from 1 species
UGGGGAAUAUUGGACAAUGGAGGAAACUCUGAUCCAGCAAUUCUGUGUGUGUGAAGAAGGUUUUAGGACUGUAAAACACUUUUAGUAGGGAAGAAAAAAAUGACGGUACCUACAGAAGAAGCAACGGCUAAAUACGUGCCAGCAGCCGCGGUAAUACGUAUGUUGCGAGCGUUAUCCGGAAUUAUUGGGCUUAAAGGGCAUCUAGGCGGUAAGACAAGUUGAAGGUGAAAACCUGUGGCUCAACCAUAGGCUUGCCUACAAAACUGUUUAACUAGAAUACUGGAAAGGUGGGUGGAACUACACGAGUAGAGAUGAAAUUCGUAGAUAUGUGUAGGAAUGCCGAUGAUGAAGAUAACUCACUGGACAGAAACUGACGCUGAAGUGCGAAAGCUAGGGGAGCAAACAGG